CUUUUACAAUGAAGAGUUUGAUCCUGGCUCAGGAUGAACGCUAGCUACAGGCUUAACACAUGCAAGUCGAGGGGUAGCAGGGUAGCAAUACCGCUGACGACCGGCGCACGGGUGAGUAACACGUAUCCAACCUACCAUUCACACGGGGAUAGCCUUUCGAAAGAAAGAUUAAUACCCGAUAGUAUAGCGAUAAGGCAUCUUAUUGCUAUUAAAGAAUUUCGGUGUUUGAUGGGGAUGCGUUCCAUUAGAUUGUUGGUGAGGUAACGGCUCACCAAGUCUUCGAUGGAUAGGGGUUCUGAGAGGAAGGUCCCCCACAUUGGAACUGAGACACGGUCCAAACUCCUACGGGAGGCAGCAGUGAGGAAUAUUGGUCAAUGGACGAGAGUCUGAACCAGCCAAGUAGCGUGAAGGAUGAAGGCCCUAU
rnacentral:rRNA from 1 species